rnacentral:sRNA from 1 species
CUUUGAUAUACUGUGGUGUUUUGGACAGGCACGGUGAAGUCAGAGAGUGAGGAAACUGUGAAACCUGAACAACAUGGUGGUGGAUUCGGUGACAAUGGAGGAGGAAGAUACCAAGGAGGAGGCGGCCAUGGUGGCCACGGAGGGGGAGGAUACCAAGGAGGAGGAGGACGAUACCAAGGAGGCGGUGGGCGACAAGGAGGAGGGGGAAGUUACUGCCGCCACGGCUGCUGCUACAAAGGUUACCAUGGCUGCUCAAGGUGUUGUUCAUAUGCCGGAGAAGCGGUUCAGACUCAGUCUGGUCACUAAAUCUACAUAAUAUAUCAACCACCAUGAGUGUACGAUUUCAUUUAUAUAUACACUUACGUGUGUAUGUGAUAUGACAAUACACUUACGUUUGUAAUGAAGUGCCUUAAGUUUAAGAGGAGAAACUAUCGGAAUAAAGUUUCAUAAUGUAAUGCCUUUGUGUUUAUU